CUGAGCCGGAAAUGGAAAAGCCGGUACAAGCGUAUAGCAGUCAUGCAGGCAAAACCGCAUGAAAAAUGUAAAGCGUUAUGUGGAUCGAACAUUAGUAGAGAAGCGUGUGAGCCAGCUGCCAAGAAAAGCCGCUAUUGUUUCAUAAGUACCCGUACCGUAAACCGACACAGGUGGAUGAGGAGAGAAUCCUAAGGCCGGCGGGAGAAGUGUUGUUAAGGAACUCGGCAAAAUGACUCCGUAACUUCGGGAGAAGGAGUGCCACAGAGAUGUGGCCGCAGAGAAAUGGCCCAAGCAACUGUUUAGCAAAAACACAGGUCUAUGCAAACCGAAAGGUGAGGUAUAUGGGCUGACGCCUGCCCGGUGCUGGAAGGUUAAGAGGAGAGGUUAGAGCAAUCGAAGCUUUGAAUUUAAGCCCCAGUAAACGGCGGCCGUAACGAUAACGGUCCUAAGGUAGCGAAAUUCCUUGUCGGGUAAGUUCCGACCCGCACGAAAGGCGUAAUGAUUUGGGCACUGUCUCAACAACACACCCGGUGAAAUUGAAAUACCAGUGAAGAUGCUGGUUACCUGCGCCAGGACGGAAAGACCCCAUGGAGCUUUACUCCAGUUUGAUACUGGGAUUCGGUACUGUCUGUACAGGAUAGGUGGGAGGCUAGGAAAUGGUGACGCCAGUUGCCAUGGAGCCAACCUUGGGAUACCACCCUUACAGUACUGGGUUUCUAACCUGCAGCCGUAACCCGGCUGGGGGACAAUGUCUGACGGGGAGUUUGACUGGGGCGGUCGCCUCCGAAAGAGUAUCGGAGGCGCUCAAAGGUUCCCUCAGAACGGUUGGAAACCGUUCGAAGAGUGCAAAGGCAGAAGGGAGCUUGACUGCGACACCGACGGGUGGAGCAGAUACGAAAGUAGGACUUAGUGAUCCGGUGGUAUAAAGUGGGAUUGCCAUCGCUCAACGGAUAAAAGCUACCCUGGGAUAACAGGCUUAUCACUCCCAAGAGUUCACAUCGACGGAGUGGUUUGGCACCUCGAUGUCGGCUCAUCGCAUCCUGGAGCUGUAGCAGGUUCCAAGGGUUGGGCUGUUCGCCCAUUAAAGCGGUACGCGAGCUGGGUUCAGAACGUCGUGAGACAGUUCGGUCCCUAUCCGGCGUGGGCAUAGGAUAUUUGAGAGGAGCUGUCCUUAGUACGAGAGGACCGGGAUGGACAAACCUCUGGUGUAUCUGUUGUUUUACCAAAGGCAUGGCAGAGUAGCCAAGUUUGGCAGGGAUAAACGCUGAAGGCAUCUAAGCGUGAAGCCCCCCUCAAGAUAAGAUAUCCCAUCUUCGGAGUAAGACCCCUUGAAGACUACAAGGUUGAUAGGCUUCAGGUGUAAGUGCGGUAACGCACUCAGCUGAGAAGUACUAAUAGGUCGAGGACUUACC
rnacentral:rRNA from 1 species